CAACUUGUGAGGUGAAGAUUGCCCACACUUAUAUAAACACAUAUAACGCACCCCCUCAACUUGUGAGGUGAAGAUUGCCUACACUUAUAUAAACACAUUUAACACACCCCCUCACGAGCAACACUAUUGGACUUGGUUCGUGGACAUAAAUAGUGGGUGGCCUAAUAGCGGAAAUUAGGUAGCAGGCGGCCCAACGGAUCUUUGAGGAGGUUCUGAUGCCAUCUUAGAAAUCGUGGUUAGGCCUACCACAACCUCACAAAACCGGCUUGUGGGGUGAGGAUUGCCCCCACUUAUAAACACAUGUCCAGGCCAUCUUUUGUCCAAUGUUUGACUCUUUAACAGUGCCCAAUGUCAUUGUAAAGAAUUUAUCUUGUUUUCCACAUUUUUCCAUCAUAUAUAUAUAUUAUAUCUUUUUCCCAUUAUAUUGUUUGAUUCAG
rnacentral:lncRNA from 1 species